rnacentral:rRNA from 1 species
UACGGGGGGGGUAAGCGUUGUUCGGAAUUACUGGGCGUAAAGGGCUCGUAGGCGGCCAACUAAGUCAUACGUGAAAUCCCUCAGCUUAACUGGGGAACUGCGUGUGAUACUGGAUGGCUUGGAUUUGGGAGAGGGAUGCGGAAUUCCAGGUGUAGCGGUGAAAUGCGUAGAUAUCUGGAGGAACACCGGUGGCGAAGGCGGCAUCCUGGACCAAUAUUGACGCUGAGGAGCGAAAGCCAGGGGAGCGAACGGG